CAGGAAUCUCUUGCCGUUGAGACAGGCAUUCUCCCCGUCUGAGGAGUCCGGGUUGUGAAGCUGGAGACGAUGUUCUGAUUGUCUGUAGUGUGUUCCGUGGAGGAAGCAUAAAGAAGAGUAUCCGAACACUUCGAUGAGUGGGGGGACUCAAGGAGAUUGCAAAUAAACUCAGCACGUGCACUCUUCCCAGGAGGAGUGGGUUAUCAGUCCCUUGGGACCUCAAAUGCUGAGCCCAGGGCUCUAACAGCCUCUGUGAUUUCCCAGAGGUCCAAUGGGGAGGCCAUCUUCCCUGCUGAGUCCCCCCCAAGAGGCACAGGGAACUGCCAUUUCAGCAAUGGGAAAUUGAUUUUUAUGACAACUUCAGCAAUAAGUGAAUAAAUGAAUAAGCCAGAACUAUCCACACUUGAAAAACAGUUUUUGGAGUUAAGAUGGUGAAAUCAAUAUCCGAACUCUUAGGCAUGUGUGUGUAUAUACAUAAUAUGCACAUAAUAUACAAACACAUAAUGUGUGUGUGUUUGAGAGAGAGGGAGAGAGAAACAGAGCGAGAAGACAGAGAAAGACUGCCAGAGAGACAGAGACAGAGACAGAGAGAAUGAGACGGUUGGGUGGGGCUGGGGGGUAGAGGGAAGAACAAACCACUCCUUGGAGCAGACCCCAUUUGAAUGUGCCCCUCAUCUGCUGGGAGAAUGGAUAGAGGAUGGAGUUGCCAAGGUCAAGGCUAUUCAUCUACUGGCCCCAAUAGCCCCUCAGAGACCUCCUGGGAAGACCCUCCCCCUCAAAACCCAUUGAUAGGAAUGCCUGCAGCUUGUUGCCUCGUCUGAGCCAGGAUGCUGUCCAGAGCUGUCCAGAGCCACACGUCAUGGCUUUGUAGGCCCACUAGCAAAUUAGGUGCCCAACCUGGACCCUGACCUGUCUUCUCUGGGCCUGGCCUCAAAGAGAUUCUUUGUUUAUUGAGUACCUGGUCUACCAGAUGCUGGGAACACCAUGGGGACAUAGAGCUACAAUCUCAGAUCAACGCGUAAAAACCGAUUCAAUCGAUAAUAAAGGCAAACUAAUUUUUGUGUGCGGGAGAACUACAUUCUGAGUUCCAGCUUGGGCUACCUGGAAAAUAGCAUUCCUUGCCUUGGCAAUAGCAAUUGGAACUCCCACCUGGUCCCUGAGCAACUGCAACAAAAGAAAGAAGUGCAGAAACCAGUAUCUGCGUGUACCGACUGUUUGUCUGGUGGUGCUAACACUUUACAUCCAUCUAUGGGGUACGGCUCUGUGAGACAGACACAAUUGCUCUCAUUUUACCGGUAGAGAAUCCAACUCUCCCAAGCUACGUCAAGUCGCUUAAGGUCAGACGGUUAGCGACUAAGCUAGAAUUUGAGCCCAGGCUGCUGACACCAAAGUCCAUGUUGCUUCUUCUGCUCAUCAGCUGACUGCCUCAGUUUGGACUUUGGCCCCGAAAGAUGGGGCAGCUUGGAAGGUGAGGACUGAAGGUACCUUUCCAGGGCUUCUGACCAUGGUUGGCCAUGGGGCCACAGGGAAGUAGAGCGUGUAGAUGCAUAGAUGAUUCCUCUGUCGAAAUCCAGCUCUGACAACACCAGCCUCUUCCCCUGACGUGGCUUGUGGCUGUUACGUGCCCUGCUGCCUACCCUGGAAUCCUCAAGACUGACAAUAUAUUCAAGUUCCCAAGACUCAACUGGAGCUCAGAACCCUUUCCUUUCACCGUGUUUUCUGAGGGAGCUGCUGCUGGAGACAAGCAGGAGGAAGCCAGAGCGUGAGUAAUGAAAGAGUUGCUUAUGUAAUAGGAAACCACCCAGUCUGGACCACAGGGACCUGUCUCGGAGUCAGGGAGACCGAAUUCCAGAGUUCUGUUCCAAGAUCUACCAUGCUUGGACCUGUCCCCUUGAGCAAAUCACCCACACCUUCUCCCAUUUUCCCCCAUGUAACCUUGAUGGGGGAGGGGGAGAUACCCUUCCUCCCAUUUCCCACUGAGAGGCCCCCAGGAAUGCCUGCACGGGGAGCUGUGUGACAAUUUGAGAGACAUUCUUUUCUUUCUAACCCCCAGCCCAAGCCUCUCACCUCCAGAUGCUAACUUUUCCACGGCACUCCACAGGGGUGGUGGCCCCAUUUGUCUCUCAAGUGUCUUUAGACUUAUUUGAUGUGCCUAAGAUGUCUUCUCCCCCAGGGGCCCCGUAAGGGUUAUCAUGGCUUCUAAUUAUCAAGCUGUGUGCAAAGGAACACCAGCGGCUGCUCUGACUUAAAAUGGAAUGAGUCUCGACCUGGAUACCUGUUUUCUAGUUACCACUUCUGUCACUAAUGAGAUCUCUGUCUUGGGAAAGUCACUUACAUCUCUGGAACUCAGCUUCUUCAUUUGUAACAGAAGGGGAUCAAGCCGGCUGUCUCUGAGAGUCUUUGCAGUUCCCUGGUUUUGAUCCCCUUACCUAGGAAUUGCAAUCAUCUUCUACAGGGACUCUCCCCUUCCUGAAAGGUCGCCUUACACCACUUCGCUUUUACGAAAAGACAUAGAAUAAUGGUACCUGCUUUCGCUCACUGAAAGAAAUCCAAAGAGUAUUUCUGCUUUCAUGACAGAGGGUGAAAAGCAAAAAUAGUAUUCGGGGUGCGUUUGUCCCAAAGAGGCAAGGUGCACACCCUCUCCCCCAAAUGGUGAGAAUGGCCCCAUGAGAGCUUUGAACUGUGUCUGUGAGCAGCUGUGCUUGAUCUUGAUUUAUUUCGUGCAUCCAUUUGCAAGAUGCGCCCUAAGAUAUCAGAAAGGCUCGAGAGAGGUUAUUUUGGGGGUCUGCAACAGUUAAAAAUUUUCCCAUAUAAAUUAAUGGUAAUUGGUUCUUCACUUUGUAUCAUUUUGAUUUAGGAAUGGUUUCAUAGGAACGCUCUGCUUUUGGGUAGCAGGAGAACCCUUACUUCCUUUUAUUUCAUAACUUUAGGAAUGACAAGACUCCAUGGGUUGAUCGGAAUGGACACACAGAAACAUGCACACAAACCCAGGCCCUUCCCCAGUCAUGCACCUACUUAGUCCCCUAGUGUCAGGUUGUGAGAAGCACCAUUCCAACCACUGCCACCAGAUGUCUUAAACUCGAGCUGCUGCCCAUCGCCUGCCCUGACACCUGCUCCCCAGGACCUUUGCCCCCAUCCAGUUCCUGGAGAGUUUCUUCCGCACAGCAGGUGGCUGCCCACCAGCCAGCCACUCUCUGAAGUUAGAGGGCGAAGCUGGAAGGGGAGACUCGCUCCUUGCCCAGCCACCCGCAUCCCAGCCUCAGGACAGCUUUGCUCUGCUCCCCACGCCCUGCGUGGGUUGGCUCCUGUUGCUAGGAGAACCUGACCAUUUGCAUUUCCUGCUGUUUUUAUUUUAGAUUAGCAGCCGCACUGCUGCAGGAACACAGGGUAUUUUAAGAAAGACAGAAAAGGGAAUGGUGAGGGGAGCACCUAGCAUGGGACCUCCUUCCCAAAGGCCUCCCAGGCACCCAGACCAAGGGGGACCCAUCCCAGACCCCGGCCCCACCCAGGCCUGUUGUUUCCUCGCCCCUGAACAGCACCAUUCCCCAGUCCUGGCAUCUUCAUGAGCAUCAACCUGCAAGCCACACAGGAACAGAACCACGGUCUUCUUCCAGAAAAAGAUUGAGGCUUGUACUCAACCUAACACACACAGAGCACCAGUUUCCCCGUUUUCAAACAAACAAAUAAAAACACUUCUACAUUCCCAUAGAGAUCUCCAACUCUGUCAAAACACUUCAUCUCCAAAGAUGGCUCGUAUUUCCUCCUUUCCCUUGCCCCUCUCUCUAGGCCUGCCUUAAAGAUGGAGGCUUGGCUUGUCCUUCAAGGCCUCCCAGAAAUCAGUGUUACCAAUCUCUUUUAGGGUUCCUGACCCCAAUUCCAAUGGUGGGGGUUGGGGAGAGGUCCCCCACACACUACACCAAGCAAUUCUCAGAGAACCUGCUGGUGUCCAAGAAUUCAAUUCUGACACUAACUACCCAGAGAUAACAUCAGGUGAUCCUGUGGUUAAGGGCUCAGUCCUACAGGACUGCCCCUCAUGCCCCAUGUCAGAUGCCCGUCACAAGCCCCGGGCUGUCACCUUUGCUUCUGACCAACCAGCUACAGAUUGGAGGCUCCAACGGCCUCCUCCUUAGAUUUGAUGAAUUUGCCAGAGCAGCUCACAGAACUCCUGGAAACACUUACAUCUACCAGAGUAUUAAAGGAUGUGAUAAAGGAUGCAAAUCAGCAGCCAAAUUCAGAGAUGCAUAGAGUGAGGUCCUGAACAAAGGAACUCUGUCCUCAUGGAGCUUGGGGCCCUACUCUGUUGCACGUGGAAGCAUUCUGGUUUCCCAAGCAUGGAAGCUCCCCUAAAAAGAACCCAAACACUGUCCUCUUGGGUUUUUAUGGAUGCUUCAUUACAUAGUCAUGAUUGUCUAAGUAUUGCCUAUUGGCUGAUUCCAACUCCAGCCCCUCUCCACUCUCAGAGGUUGGAGGAGGGAGACUGAAAGUUCCAACCCUUUAAUCACAAGGUUGGUCCUCCUGGCAACCAGCCCCCACCCUUGGGUGGGGUCCAAAAGUUACCUGCAUUAAUAACAAGAUACCCAGUUCACCUUCAUGGCUCUGAAAUGUUUUCAGAAACUGUGGAUAAAGACCAAAUAUAUCUGAUAAAUACAUUUCGGUCAUCUGAAUGAUGAAUAGAUAUGUAUCUUAUCUUAUAUCUAUAUCUUAUCUUAUCUUAUAUCUAUAUCUUACCUUAUAAAUCAUUAUAUUGAACCUUCCCAGACCCAUUUGUUCAAUUAAUCUCUCCCUCCCGGUUCUAAAAAUACCUGCAUCUUCUCACCAUUACUUUUGUUUCAGAUCAGGAAUCUAUUCUUCUGUCUCACCCACUAGACUAUUGAACACCCAGAAGCCAGUAUUUUUGCAAUUUGUUUAAUCCCCGUCUUACUGCUAGAAUAUUUGCUCACAAUAUACGCUCGUUAACACUUUUAAAAUUUGUUCAUCCCCAUCAAACAGUUAUUGAGCCCUACCAAGACUUGCACACCAUAAGUAAUCAUGAAACAUUCUCUAUCAUUUAGGAGCUCUUGGCCCAGUGGAGGAAGACAAAUAAACAAUUUUAAACAAUGUGAUGAAUGUUGUAAUAAAGAUAGGUCCAGAAUUGCAAGAAGUUUCCUGAGGCAGGGGUGAGGGUGGGGUGGCAUAUGAACAAGAGGAAUCAGGAACGGUUUCAUGGAGCUAACUCUUGA